rnacentral:misc_RNA from 1 species
GUAUUCUACUCUUUUUGAGUGAUUUGACCAUUGCUUCACUGCAAGCUCGGUUUAAAACUAUAGAUUGCAGUACCUAAAGUGUACAAAAAUGCUCUAGCAAUGAAGGGUUCGCCCAACUUGGCUUUUGCAAGUUUUGUGCUUCACGAUAGGUGGACUUUCGAGUCGAGCUGCAACACCCAAACCAAAAUUUUGAA